CAGCAAUGCUUGUAUUAUCAACAGUUUCUUAAAUUGUGAUGUCUACCUCUCAAAGUCCAGUGCAAUUUUUAUGUAAUUAGCAGCCAAGUCAAAAGAGUAAUAUCACCUUAUCUGUGAGACUGACUCAAAAUAUUCUGUUGAUGGAGUGUACAACAAUAUUCUGUGGUUCAAUGCAGAGCCCAGGGUAGAGGAUACUGUUUUAAGCCUUUCUAGUUUACUUUUUUGUUGAUUUGUUUGUCCAAUGCAUAGCCAACCCAUGCAGAAAUAAUCUUGUAAAGAUUGUUUUCUCUAAGUACAGCUCUUGGCUGGUUCUAGACACUAGAAUAUUGACAGCACUAAUUAAGUUGACUAUAUCCAAUGUCUUAGCUCAGGCCUUGAAGCAGAGCCUGAGACAGGGUUUCUUGUGAAAGUGAUUUGUUGAAAUAGGGUUCACAGGAGAAAUCUGUAGGGAAUGAGAGAAGAGGUCAAGAUGGAGAAACAACCUAGCAGAGGUGUGAUUUCCAGAAUUCAGCCUCACAUCACAGGAAACUCUAGAGCAUAAAUUGGUAUCACAGAAGUCCCACCUCAAGGAAAGAAGGUGGAGACAUUUAACUGUUGGUGCUUAACUUUCCAAACUAUGCUUCCUCUACAACAAUGUUUGUGGAAGCAUACAGUCAGGUAGAAGCCGCCAGAGAUGCUGAGUUAACACAUAGAAGACAGCUGGUCUGGGGAAUCACCUAGACCAAAAGUUAAUGUUGCAUGAGUAAACCAUUUGUUAUGAUGUGACACUGACUCUUGGGGUUACUUGGAAACCGCAUAUAACCUAGACUAUCC
rnacentral:lncRNA from 1 species